rnacentral:rRNA from 1 species
GGCGAGCGGCGGACGGGUGAGUAAUACGUGGGAAUCUGCCUAUAGGUGGGGGAUAGCCCGGAGAAAUCCGGAUUAAUACCGCAUAAUACCUGAGGGUUAAAACGGAGGAUCGCAAGACUUCGUGCCUAUAGAUGNNNCCACGUCAGAUUAGCUAGUUGGUAGGGUAAAGGCCUACCAAGGCGACGAUCUGUAGCUGGCCUGAGAGGGUGGCCAGCCACACUGGAACUGAGACACGGUCCAGACUCCUACGGGAGGCAGCAGUGGGGAAUAUUGGACAAUGGGCGCAAGCCUGAUCCAGCCAUGCCGCGUGUGUGAAGAAGGCCUUCGGGUUGUAAAGCACUUUAAGUUGGGAGGAAGGUUGCUUGGCUAAUAUCCAAGUGAAUUGACGUUACCAACAGAAUAAGCACCGGCUAAUUCCGUGCCAGCAGCCGCGGUAAUACGGAAGGUGCGAGCGUUAAUCGGAAUUACUGGGCGUAAAGCGCACGUAGGCGGUUACUUAAGUCGGAUGUGAAAGCCCUGGGCUUAACCUGGGAAUUGCAUCCGAUACUGGGUGACUAGAGUACGGUAGAGGGGGGUGGAAUUCCAGGUGUAGCGGUGAAAUGCGUAGAGAUCUGGGGGAACAC